rnacentral:rRNA from 1 species
CGAAAGCCUGACGGAGCAACGCCGCGUGAGGGAGGAAGGCUCUUGGGUUGUAAACCUCUCUUCUCAAGGAAGAUAAUGACGGUACUUGAGGAAUCAGCAUCGGCUAACUCCGUGCCAGCAGCCGCGGUAAUACGGAGGAUGCAAGCGUUAUCCGGAAUAAUUGGGCGUAAAGCGUUCGUAGGUGGUGAUGUAAGUCUGCUGUUAAAGCGUGUAGCUUAACUACAUAUAGGCGGUGGAAACUACAUGACUAGAGUGCGUUCGGGGCAGAGGGAAUUCCUGGUGUAGCGGUGGAAUGCGUAGAUAUCAGGAAGAACACCGGUGGCGAAGGCGCUCUGCUAGGCCGUAACUGACACUGAGGGACGAAAGCUAGGGGAGCG